GCCUCCCUCCGCCGCCACUCAGACUCCGUACGGGAGGCGAGCAGUGGGAAGUAGUUGCGCAAUGGGCGGAAGCCGUGACGCAGCGACGCCGCGUGGGGGAGUGGAAUGCUUCGGUUGUAACCCUUUCACGCAGGGACGAAGCGAGAGUGACGGUACCUGCAGAAGAAGCGCCGGCUAACUACGUGCCAGCAGCCGCGGUAAUUC
rnacentral:rRNA from 1 species